GACAGGAGUACAUGCAUAUCGUGCUGUCUUCAUACCAUGGCGUGUGUCUGAUCACCUUAAAGACUUAUAUACUGGUGAAAAAUUACCGUAUGAAAAUGGAAAAUCAACGAAUCAUCAUGCCUACAUUGAUCUCUAACUGAUUCUUUACAUCUUUGACAUCACAUCUUAUAAGAUGUCCUUCAGCUGAAAGAACAGGUGUAGCAGGUCGAGAAGUUCCUAGUCACAAGUCAACGAUCCGCAUACCUUGAUAUUUUCAUCGUAGCUAUCAGAGCGGAACUGUGUGAAUGUUCCGCCGAUGAUGAAGGUGUUCAGGCAGUCGUCCUGAUUACUAGCUAAUACGUAUACAUUCGCCGUUUACGUUCAUUCCAACGACUUGUAUCUUUUCUUCGGGGUGAACAGAUGUGGAAACUUUAAAAUGUGCCGUAUUAGAGGGCAACCAUCCAUGUAUAUGCCAAUCUUCCUGACGAUUCUGACAGCUGGACUGCAAGUAUGUUCUGUAGAUGUUGAAGUGAAAACCUCGGACGCAUGUCACGGACCAUCAACAUUUACUCAGACACACAACAUGUUAGAGUGUGACGAGUUGGAAGAGAUCUGUAUAACAGAGGUCAGGUACUACCAGUAUGAUCCAAGCGACCAAGUUUGUUCAUAUCUUAUAUCCAGGGUUGUGCCUGACCGAUGUUGUCAGCGCAACACAAGUCGAUGUAGCUGGGUAAGAGAUGUAAACGAUGACCGUCAGGAGUUACAGACAAACUGCACUGAUCAAAGCGAGUGUGAUCUUCAUUCUGCUGUUUGGAAACUCAUAGGGCAUCCAUGUAAUCUCACCCAGCCCGGGUCUACCCAGAGCAGCGUGCGAUCCAUCACGUAUACGUGCACUUCUUCUGGGACUUGCCCUCCUCUUGCAACAACAACAGUCUCAGUAGGUUUGACAGGAGGAUCAGAAGAAUCGUCUUCAAUAAAGGCAAACG